GAUCCCACCCGGUGCAGAGCAUUUCCACCCAGGCGUUGGGCAGUGAGGUUGUGCAAUUGGAAGAUCUGCAUAAGGUUAUGGUCUUCAUCCUGAUUGAUGGUCAAAUCCGAGACAUUAUUAUAUAGCCAAAGAUCACAGCGGCAUGUACAAUUAUACCAUGUUCAGGUUGUGGUCUUCAUCCUGAUUGAUGGCUCAAACUUGACAUACACUGAGAUGUAUGAGCUGCAGUUGCUCUUAGUACGAUACUCCAUGCUUGCUGGGAUGUGCUUGCAGUCCCUCUUAGCACAACAAUACAACUUGCCCUUUUAGCAUUUUUUUUCCCUAGAAGGAUUGGUAUAGUGCAUGUCUGAAAUUAUUAUUUGCAAAUACCAGCGAUU